GAACUAAUCCUAGCCCUCAACUCUUAAUAAUAUAACUAUUUCACACUAUAAAUUAAACCAUUUAAUCUCGUAAAAGUAUUGGAGAAAGAAAUUAUUUCAUAGGAGCUAUAGAGUAAGUACCGCAAGGGAAAGAUGAAAGAAUAAUUAAAAGUAACAAUAAGCAAAGAUAAAACCUUGUACCUUUUGCAUAAUGAGUUAACUAGAAUAAAUUUAACUAAAAGCAUUAAAGCUAAAUACCCCGAAACCAAACGAGCUACCUAAAAACAAUUUAAACGAAUCAACCCGUCUAUGUUGCAAAAUAGUGGGAAGAUUUUUAGGUAGAGGUGAAAAGCCUAACGAGCUUGGUGAUAGCUGGUUACCCAAAUAAUGAAUUUAAGUUCAACUUAAAAUUUACCAAAAGAACAUUUAAUCCUCAUGUAAAUUUUAAAUAUAGCCAAAAGAGGGACAGCUCUUUAGGAAAAGGAAAAAACCUUAAGUAGUGAAUAAACUCAAUAAAUAACCAAACCAUUGUAGGCCCAAAAGCAGCCACCAAUAAAGAAAGCGUUCAAGCUCAACAUUAGCAUUUAAAUAAUUUAACAAGUAAUAAUAAAUUCCUACAUUAAAAAUUGGGUUAAUCUAUUAAUGUAUAGAUGAGAUACUGUUAACAUGAGUAACAAGAAUUUUAUUCUCCAAGCACAAGCGUAUAACAACUCGGAUAACCAUUGUUAAUUAUCAACCUAUAGAUAAAAACUACAAAUUAAUAGAUCUAAAAACAACUUGUUAAUCCAACACAGGAGUGCUAUAAGGAAAGAUUAAAAAAAAUAAAAGGAACUCGGCAAACUAAAACCCCGCCUGUUUACCAAAAACAUCACCUCUAGCAUAUUAAGUAUUAGAGGCAUUGCCUGCCCAGUGACUAAAGUUUAACGGCCGCGGUAUCCUGACCGUGCAAAGGUAGCAUAAUCACUUGUUCCUUAAUUAGGGACUAGCAUGAACGGCUAGACGAGGGUUUGACUGUCUCUUAUUUUUGAUCAGUGAAAUUGACCUUUCAGUGAAGAGGCUGAAAUACUAUAAUAAGACGAGAAGACCCUAUGGAGCUUUAAUUUAUCAGUUUAAUCAUACUAAUAAAAUGACCUAAUGGAGUAACCACAAUGAUAUAAACUCAUAAUUUCGGUUGGGGUGACCUCGGAGAAAAGAAAAUCCUCCGAAUGAUUUUAACAUAGAUCCACAAAUCAAAGUAAGUAAUCUAUCUUAUUGACCCAAAAAUCUUUUUUGAUCAACGGACCAAGUUACCCUAGGGAUAACAGCGCAAUCCUAUUUAAGAGUUCAUAUCGACAAUUAGGGUUUACGACCUCGAUGUUGGAUCAGGACAUCCCAAUGGUGCAGAAGCUAUUAAUGGUUCGUUUGUUCAACGAUUAAAGUCCUACGUGAUCUGAGUUCAGACCGGAGUAAUCCAGGUCGGUUUCUAUCUAUUAACAAUUUCUCCCAGUACGAAAGGACAAGAGAAAUGGAGCCACCUUAUAAAUAAGCGCCCCCAACUUAAUAUAUGAAUUAAUCUAAAUAUAGUAAGUAUGUUAACUCUUUGCCUAGACAAGGCUAU
rnacentral:rRNA from 1 species